AUUGAACGCUGGCGGCAGGCCUAACACAUGCAAGUCGAACGGUAACAGGAAGAAGCUUGCUUCUUUGCUGACGAGUGGCGGACGGGUGAGUAAUGUCUGGGAAACUGCCUGAUGGAGGGGGAUAACUACUGGAAACGGUAGCUAAUACCGUAUAACGUCGCAAGACCAAAAAGGGGGACCUUCGGGCCUCUUGCCAUCGGAUGUGCCCAGAUGGGAUUAGCUAGUAGGUGGGGUAACGGCUCACCUAGGCGACGAUCCCUAGCUGGUCUGAGAGGAUGACCAGCCACACUGGAACUGAGACACGGUCCAGACUCCUACGGGAGGCAGCAGUGGGGAAUAUUGCACAAUGGGCGCAAGCCUGAUGCAGCCAUGCCGCGUGUAUGAAGAAGGCCUUCGGGUUGUAAAGUACUUUCAGCGGGGAGGAAGGGAGUAAAGUUAAUACCUUUGCUCAUUGACGUUACCCGCAGAAGAAGCACCGGCUAACUCCGU
rnacentral:rRNA from 1 species